CACACGUCCCAGCAUUUUAGUACCUUGUUCGUACAAUGACAUAUUUUGAAGGGUUAUAUACAUUUGUGCCAUUAGAUGAAACAAUGGAGAACAAGACAAACAGGGAGUUCUUCUUUGUUCUUUUGAGUUUGUUUCCUUAUGGUUGAAAUUAUUGAAAAGUGAUUUGGAUAAAAGCGUCAGCUAAAUGACAUGUAACAAAUCCAAAAUAUUGCAGUGGAAUGAGGACUCGUCCGUCUCCUUGGUCACCGCUCAUCAGUCUAUUAUGUUCGGCACAAAGGAAAUAAUGAUUGAAAUCCAGAGAUAGUGUCGCUCUUUUGUCACAAACCCCCCAACAAACAGAGCCUUUAGCUGAUGCAGCGAUGGAGACCUGAUAUCAUUCAUGACGUCACACUGCGUUCCUGUUUGUAUCUGAAAUAACCUUUGUGAUAUCAGCCACAAUAACAACAUAUUAUAAUACUAAUAAUCCAUUCCAUCAGCUCAGCGUUGGUACAUAACAAGUCGUGAGGCCUGGCCGAGCAGUGGGAUGAGGCCACGGGAGCAGCAGCAGACACUGAAACAAAAGGACACCUGGGGGACACAAGUUCUCCCCCGGAGAACAUCGAUAUCUACGUCUCUUCUCUUUCUGCUCCUGCAACGUGGAACAAACUGCUCAGAAUCGAACCCAAUAACUCUUCUGGGUUCCCAGAACAAACAAAGCUUGAUGUAAUUUGUGUUUCAUAGGAUUCCUGCAUCGAGCCCCCCUUCCCUGCCCCCCCUCGCCCCCCCAUCACCAGAUCUGAUUAGGAGCCGCCCUGACUUCAUUUACCUCCUCUGCGUGAACUAAACUGUGUAUAAGUUUUCGCCCCAUGGGGAGCAUGCAUCGAUCUGGGACAUGAUGGCGGUAUCGGGCAGCCCCCUCGCUGGCCUCGCUGCGGGUGGAGGAGGCGGUGGAGAAGGAGGGGGCCUCACAUCCACCAUGAGGGUCGAUGAAAAUUGAAAACAGAAGCAAGCUGGUCGAGUGAAUUGGUUUUCAUGACGGAGCAACAUUGAGUCAUUUUUCCCCUGAUGACGACGUGACCCCAAACCUCCGACCACGUCCACGCCGCAUUCAGAGCUCGCAGGACUAAACUUAAAGGACAACAUGGGACGAAGUUUGACUGGAGUCGCUGACAGCUGCUGCACGGGAGGUUAAAGCAGCACUAACCGGGUUUGUUGCCACGGAGACGAUCCGCCGUCCUGUUUACACCCAUGAGGCUCUUUGUGUGGGUGGAAGCUGUUGUAUUGUGAAAAAUAAAGAAACUCCGGACGGACAGAAGACAUCUCGGAUAGAACGUUUAGUUUAGUAAAAGAAGAAGUAAAAGGUCUUGUGCUAAAAAGAACAUCUCAGCUGAGGAGCCGCUGGUCAAACGGCCACAGAGCCCAUGGACCCCCCAUAGUGACUCCUGCCUCCACCAACCAGCUCCUGGAACAAGGGUGCCUGCAGCACCACGGACAGCAGCAGACCCUGACCUCUGACCUUUGACCCCGCUGCAGUGAUCUGCAGAAUGAAGGUGCUCCCCGUGAGAGUCCCGGCCUGAAGCCAGCGCCGCCUGUCUCUGUCCCUCCAUCAAGACGUGUGGGACACGUUGCCAUGGUAACAGUGCUGCAGAGGUUCAGUUCUGAGGAUCCAAUCAAAGCUCGCCUCUCAGUGUGACCCAUGACACAUCACACUUUGUCACACAUCAUAUCUAUAUACCCUGCGCUAUACAGUAUGUAUGAAUAUAUAAAUCUUAUUGUCUUUAUAUUCUAAGCUUAUUUAACGAUUCUUGUUGGACUGUUGUACCUUAUAGAUCAGGGGGUCAAACAUCCGCCCCGCCGGAUGACUUUGCUCAGUGUGAAAAUGACAGAAAGACCGGCCCUUGUGAGAUCAAAGUGUGUGGCCCCCCACCAAAAACCACCCGUGUGCUAAUAUAGUUGCAGAGUUGUGCCAUUGUACACGUACUCUGCCGACCGCAUCACACCGAGAGGAGCCAUCAAAGGAGUCGCCCCCUGGUGGUCACUACAGAGAAUGCAGCUUAAACACGUGAAGCUCACACUCCACCUUAACGAACUGGAGGUUACCUCCUGGAUCACAGCCUGUGUUUGCUUCUUUGGUUUGUUUGUUAUCACCUAAUAAACAUUUUUAUCGUGUUCCCUCA